rnacentral:ncRNA from 1 species
UCCGCAGCGCAUGGCGCAGCACCACGGCGCGAAAGCUCAGCCCCUUCAGCCGGGCUGUACGGAUGUAUUGCGCCGUCAUCACCUCGGCCAUCGAGGCCCGCGUCAUCCGGGCGAUAUAGCCCAUGCCGUAAAGCGCCACCGUCACGACCGGCAGGGUGAAAUUAUGGAAUGUCACCCCG